GGGGGUAUAGCUCUGGGGUAAAGCAUUUGGCUGCGGAUCAAGAGUUCCUAAAUUCAAAUCUGUGUGCCCCCU